rnacentral:rRNA from 1 species
UACGAAGGGGGGCUAGCGUUGUUCGGAAUUACUGGGCGUAAAGCGCACGUAGGCGGAUUGUUAAGUGAGGGGUGAAAUCCCAGGGCUCAACCCUGGAACUGCCUUUCAUACUGGCAAUCUCGAGUCCGAGAGAGGUGAGUGGAAUUCCGAGUGUAGAGGUGAAAUUCGUAGAUAUUCGGAGGAACACCAGUGGCGAAGGCGGCUCACUGGCUCGGUACUGACGCUGAGGUGCGAAAAGCGUGGGGAGCAAACAGGG